rnacentral:tRNA from 1 species
ACCCCCGAAAUCCGUAAAGAUUUCAGGGGCUUAUUUGGGCCCCGCGGAAGCGAGGUUAUUGGCUU